rnacentral:tRNA from 10 species
GCGGACGUGGUGAAAUUGGUAGACACGCCAGACUUAGGAUCUGGUGCCUCACGGUGUGAGAGUUCGAGUCUCUCCGUCCGCACCA